rnacentral:rRNA from 1 species
AUACAGAGGGUGCAAGCGUUAAUCGGAAUUACUGGGCGUAAAGCGCGCGUAGGUGGUUGUGUAAGUCGGAUGUGAAAGCCCCGGGCUUAACCUGGGAAUUGCAUUCGAAACUGCACGACUCGAGUCUGAUAGAGGGAAGUGGAAUUUCCGGUGUAGCGGUGAAAUGCGUAGAUAUCUGGAGGAACAUCAGUGGCGAAGGCGACUUCCUGGCUUAAAACUGACGCUGAGGUGCGAAAGCGUGGGUAGCGAACGGGAUUAGAAACCCCAGUAGUCC